AUUGCCCACUGGGAACUAUAAAUUAUAGUUCUCACGCCCUGUUAUUUUAUGUUUAAUUUCAGAGUCUUCCACUCCGGGCGAGGCUAGGGACCGCGGAAAGGGUAUCGCCUAGAGCUAGCUUGCUAUCGAGGACGCGUUGAUAAGUGGUCUACAUCUCGUUGUUUUAUUUUGGAGAGGUUUUGGAGAAUCACCUGUGUAUAGAGACCACCCCACUGUGGAUUUCUUUGAGAUUCUUAUUGUACCUUUUUAUGCUUAUGCUUAGUGGACUACUUUACUCCUUCUCUACUUGUUGCUAGUUUUUAGUUGUUAGCAGCUCUGAUAUCUCUAGAUACUUGUUUCUUCUUGCUUUCGCAUCUCUUUUGUUGUAGACGCCUUGUAUGCGCA
rnacentral:lncRNA from 1 species